UUCCAUGACUGGCGCAAGGUGUCAUUCACCUCAUUAUAUACACUGCUAUAUCCUUUAUCUUGAGCAGAAUGCUACUUUGUGAGCAGACAGAGGUUACAUUUUGCAUUCUUUGACAGAGAUAUCUGCAAAAAGAUCUUAGACUCCAUUCACCACCCUUCAGCAUACAGAAUUCACAAGAUGACUUUGAAUUUCUGGUAUUAGAUGUGGAGUAAAAUCCUUUGACAGUCUUUGAGAUAGAAAAUGUGCAGGGACUCUAGUAUAUGUAGUCAACUGCACUGAGUUAUCCUGAAAAGACAAAAUGGAUACAUCAAUUAUUUAUUGUUCUCACACUGUAUUCCAGCUGAGCAACUCUUCCAAUUAGCUGAUAUUCAACCAGUAAGAUAUUUGGUCUAGUUUGCAUAUGCUCUGACAUGCCUUUCUUUUAUUUAACUAGAAGAUAGUGAAAUAGGUAAAAGACAGUUAGAGAAAGACAAGGAAAAUUUGCAUUUUGUUUCCUUCUUGCUGAAAACAAGUAAGGAAACCCCAGCCCCUGAAAUACUGUAAAAAGAAAGAAUUACAAUGCAGACAAAAAAAAGGCUGCAGAAAGCUAAUGUGUAAUACAUUGGAGGUAAAGCAGUCUAAGCAUCAAAAUAUCACAAAGAAACAAAUGGGGGAAAAAAACCCCAACCCAAACCAUUUAAACCAAACCUCAGAGAACUUCUUAAAUGAGUGUAAGAGAAAAUUAGCUAAAUUUAAAUUAAUUUUAAAAUUUGGAUUCAGAUCAAGGAAUGUAGAACUGCUUGAAAAAUCCUCUUAUUAAGAUCUGUCUCCUCUGGCCUGCAUACAAAGGAGCACAGUGUUCAACAACCGAAACUUUCACAUCCAACCUUAUUUAGUAGAAUGUGGUGAAAGGAGAAUUGUGGUAGAAUCAUGCAAUGUCUUGUGUUGAAAGAGACCGUAAAGAUCAUCCAAUUCCAACUUCCCUGUCACAAGGAGAGGGACACUUUCCACUAGACCAGCCAGGUGUGGUUCCAUUCCCUACAACCCCUCGAGCCCUGACCUUCCUCUAAUCUUCAUCCAGUGCCUGGUGAACCUGCUCGUCCUACUCUUGGAUAACUUCUCCAGAAGGAUGAUGAAAGGAACAGUAUCAAAAAUCUUACUAAAAUCCAGAGAAACUACAUCCACUGUCUUCCCUCCAUCCCAUUUAGUAAGCUGGGCUCCUUUUCCACUACAGACACUGAACAGAUUGUUAUUCUUCAUUGGCAGAAGAUAGCAAGAUAUUAAGAGAUCUCUCCUGAAAGAAUCCUGAAGUGCUGUUACGGGGCUGACAAAGUCCUCAUGUUCCUGAUCAAAUCCUACACUGCUGUGGGAGGCAGGACAUAGCCAGCUGACACUGCCUGCCACUUCCAUGCUGAGGAAUCUGUGGGACUGCACACUCAGAAAGGGCUAAAGGGCAGGUACUGCUCCCCUCAGCACACUUACUGCCACUUGUUUUCACCACUCCCUAUGAUGGCAGUGGUCUGCCCACAAAGUGUAGUGGAAAAGGUGGUGAUAAGCACAUGUCAAACAGCACAGAUGCAGGUAAAUGGCUGGUCGUUUUCAUUGUAAGUGGACAAACAACCCAAAUGCUGCUUUUACAUUGUAGUUUCAGCACAAUUUUGGUACAUUUAGUGUGUAUUUUAGGGCCAGGUUAUAAAAGGGAGGUGACAGUGACUGAAAAUUUGAGUUUUCAGAAUGAGGCAGCAGUUGAAUAAGCAGGAGUGUUGAUAAAACAUGUGAAGUAUAGUGAAUAAAUGGAAGUGGGAGACAAAAUAGGCCUGGAAUACCAACAUUCAGUGCACUGGAAAGAGUAUACUGGAAAGGGAAAUGGAAGUACAUCACACAAGACUGAAAGCCAAACAGAAGUUUCCUUUAACUUUUUUUCUUUAUUUGUCAGUGUCCAUUUUCUUCUGCUAUUUGGCCUUUAGGAUCUUAGAUUUCUUUUUUGAGCAGCUUUGUUUCAUAUGUUUCCAGACAUAAAACUUAGGCAGAAAAUCCAGUGAUAUUUAGGACCACUGCUCAGGGGAAAUGCUAAAUAAGUCCUAAAAUAUUUAGACACCUAGUUCAUUCACUUUGAUAACAGAUAAGCAUCCAAGGGUUCACGUUUGUGUGUUUCAACGAAUAUUUUUUCAAGGGUGGUUUCACUAGGAUAAGUGUCACCUUACAAGCUUUUUUAUUACUGUAGCUGUAAUGGUUAAAAAAAGAUUGCACUCUCUGACAUACUCACAGAAGUAAAAUCUUGUAAGUGCAGACCAAACCCUUGCCUAUAGGAAGCUAAGAUGGAAGAUUUUGUUUCCUUUGAAAGCACUGUGUAAAUUUACAGCAGUAGAUAAACGAUGCAAUUGGAAAAGUAUUUUUUUCACAGAUUUCUCUGAGAAUAAUGUAGGCUGGCUGUGAAAGCAGUACUUUUAGAGCCUGAGAAGCUCAUAAAGGGAGAUGGUGGAGCUACAGGCCAUUAAUAUAAGCAAGCAAGCAUCCAGUAAAAUGUGAUGCAAAUGAAAUAUGAGUUGCCUAGGAGGGCUUUAAUCAGGCUGAUGUAAUAGCAUAGAUUUUGUGUAAAAGUAGGAACAUGGUUUUGGACUUAACGACUUAUUUUUCUUUUUUUAUUAUUUUUUCCAGCUGGCUUACCCUUCUAUCAAAAUAAAUUAAGGCCAAAAAAAAAAAAAAAGGCAAAAGGAAAAGAAAAAAAAAAGAAAUAUGGAUGUUAAUGCCCAAGUGCAAGCAGUGAACUAAAAAAAGAAAAUGCCUUCUUUUGAAGAAGAAGGGUAAAAAAGGAAAUUUGGCUUCUCAGCAGAUUCUGAUACUGUACCCAUUAGAACUGAAUGUGAAUGUUCUGAAAGGCUGUCACUCUCUAUACUGCCAAUCCAUUGUAAAAAAGAAGAGUAAUUUGAAGUCAGUCAGCGACCACUUUUCAGCAAAGAAAUCAGAAGAUCUGCCUUUUUUGAUAUUCUGUCUUAAAGCAAGUUCACCAGCAUUAUAGUAGUCUUAAUAUCCUCAUUUCAUUAGUCAGAGAAGAUUUGAGAAAUGUGCAGAUUCUCAUAUGGGAAAUGAUAUAAUUAUUUUUAAAUAAAAUGAAACGUUCAUAAAUACUAAGUGUCUUCAGAUUUGGAUGGUAAAACAAAAAGAGAGAUAUGUUUUCCAUUUUACUAUUAGGCUGCACUGUAGAUCUCUGUAAGAUAAUCCUGAUAAAAUUUUCACAGAUCUGUUGCAAUAAGAAUAGGAAUUAGUUGCCUCCAGUUGCCAUCAUACUAGUUGCUCCACUGGCAAUUUUUUUAUGUAGAACAUGGUUUCCUUGGCAGAGAAAUUUAUUAUGAUUGUUAGUGUUGCUGUUAUUAUUAUUAAUUUGUAUCUGAAUAUCUGUUACUCUGCCUUCUAUAUGCCUAAUGCUAUGUAGUAUUUAAGAAUAUGCUUGUCUGCACUGUGUGGCUUUUAAGCAUAUUGUUGGAUUUUGCUACAGUCAAGACAAUCCUUGCUAUGAAUAGCAUGUAAGUUUUCAUGUGCAGCUUUUACAUUCGGAUCUCAGUACAGACUAUUACAGAGAACAAAACGAACAAGUUUGAACAUACCAGGUAAAACAUGCAAACCUAUAAGAUGGUGAAAAGGCAUGAACUCUGCCCCACUCCCAUGACCUUCACAGAGGGUUUUAGGAAUGGAUUCCACCUGUUUGCUGGUCACUCUGCUUCAUCUGCAUGACUUCUUCCUUCAAGAGGAGAUCUCUUUGGUUUGCAACCUCUCCAACACAAAACCUAAUUUUUAAUGAAAUCAAGAAGUCAAUGUCCAAUUUAAGCUUCCUGAAUUGAGUCUUUGUAUCACAGACUGUAUGUCUCUGUGAAAGAAAUCACAUCCUUUCAUUUUCUCAGAGCAAAGGGUUUUAGAGGGUGCCUACAUGUGUUUGUGUUACUGGUCAGAAGAUGAAAAAAUCCAGUUAAGGAGCUUCCCAUGGGCAAUAUUUUCCAGCAUCUGACUGGCAGAAAUUAAAAUUAGUAGAAUUAUGUUUAAAUUUUUCAAAUCUGUGUGUAUAAAUAAGUGCUUUUCACAUGCCACUAGCUGUAACCUCAAUAAAUAUGAACAGGAUUUUGGAGCUGGAAUUAAACAAUAUCCAUUAAAGUUUCAACAUUGUAGACAAACCCAUUUUUUAUGCCUCUAUCUAAGAGGAGUUAGACUAUCAAGAUAAUUUCAUACACAAUUCUUUGUCAGACCUCUAAUUUCAGUAGUGUGUAAAAUAAUUUUUUUCAUUUCUUCUCAGUUUUGAAAAUUCUUCAAAACAUUUUUAUUAGCUUAAUGGUGUUGACUUGCUGAUCCAAAUAUGUAGUGUUCACAUUCAUAAUAAAUUUGAGACAUUUUUCCAGAACUGAGCCUACAGAGAUUCAUUUUUUCAUUUUGCAUCCAAAUGUUCUUUUGAUAACCUCAAAAAGCAAUUGAAAAUAUCCUCCAUUCUUCUUUAGCAGAAAUACACUCAUUUUGUAGGUGCAUCUACAACUACACAAAAAUCCAUCUAGAGAGCAGCUAUCAGAAAUGAGUAAGUUGCACUGCACGCAAGGAAAAAUUGAAGGAAAUUGUGUUCAAAAAGAGGUAAAAUACCACUAGGAGAAACAAAAUUUCAGUUUGAGAAAAAAUAACAAAUAAAAGAGAGAAAAAAACUUUGAAAUGUACUAUAAUGUGAUGCAAACAUAGUUUUCACAGCAACCAUAAUUGACACAUGUUGCAUCAUUUUUAAU